CCUACGGGAGGCAGCAGUGGGGAAUAUUGGACAAUGGGCGAAAGCCUGAUCCAGCAAUGCCGCGUGAGUGAUGAAGGCCUUCGGGUCGUAAAGCUCUUUUACCAGGGAUGAUAAUGACAGUACCUGGAGAAUAAGCUCCGGCUAACUCCGUGCCAGCAGCCGCGGUAAUACGGAGGGAGCUAGCGUUGUUCGGAAUUACUGGGCGUAAAGAGUACGUAGGCGGUUAUUCAAGUCAGAGGUGAAAGCCCGGGGCUCAACCCCGGAACUGCCUUUGAAACUAGAUAACUAGAGUCUUGGAGAGGUUAGUGGAAUUCCGAGUGUAGAGGUGAAAUUCGUAGAUAUUCGGAAGAACACCAGUGGCGAAGGCGACUAACUGGACAAGUACUGACGCUGAGGUACGAAAGCGUGGGGAGCAAACAGGAUUAGAUACCCUGGUAGUCCACGCCGUAAACGAUGAUAACUAGUUGUUCGGUCACUUGGUGACUGAGUGACGCAGCUAACGCAUUAAGUUAUCCGCCUGGGGAGUACGGUCGCAAGAUUAAAACUUAAAAUGAAAUUGACGG
rnacentral:rRNA from 1 species